GAGACUGGGGUGGAGACUUCGGAGACUGCAGUUGCAGUUGUUCCGUGUAGGCUGUUGUUGACUCUCGUAUGAAAGCCCACGCGAUCCAAGUGCCCUGCAGGUUUUGGUCCAGGGAAAAGUUGCUCUCUGCAGAUGACUGUAAAUGACUACCUGGAGGUCGAUUAAAGUGCGGUACUGCGGGAUUCAGCCGAUUUCCUUCUUCCUCUGACUGCCCGGAAAUAUCAGCCAAAGGCCGGCGGUAGUAAUUAACACAAUUACCUGCCUAUGAUUUCUGUCCUAUUUAAGAUGGGUUCUAUUAUGUUUUUAUCUAUAGUUGUCUUCAUUAACUUUUCGUGAUAUCAUAAGCCCCCCGAAUCCCUCGAAAGUAGAUGGGAUUCUGAGCACACGCACACACAAAUUCAGAUCCCCAAAGGAUAGUAAAAUGAAUUAUUGGCUUAAUAUAUCAUCUUAGCUAACCAAAAGCCUGUGUCAGCUGCCAUAUUGAAAAUCUGUUUACCAGCUGCAGGGAGCUUACAAUCUGGUAAGGCAAAUAAAUCAUACGCAUAAAAAGUACAAUAAGAGAGUGUAAAGAUAUGUAAGUAAUACUAAUACCCAUAUCAGCAAUGAUCAUAACUCACUUCUCCAUUUUUAACUAAGAAUCAUAUAACCUUUCCUUCUUGUCGUUUUAAACUGAUUUUUAUAACUUUGAUACAUUACGUUUCUGUUUCCAAAACACUUCUGUGUACGUUAUUGCACAUGU
rnacentral:sRNA from 1 species